AAGAGGCAGCAGGCUUCGUGAGCUGGGGAAGUGCCAGAAGCAGCCUUCGAAUUAGACAGACCUGGACCCAAACCCUUUCUCUUCCCCCCACCCAUUUUGGCAUCUUGGCACGAGACUGUCCCCAUUUCUGGAAAGGGUGUUCACAAGAACAGUCUGGCUGGGUUGUUGGGAUGACCGAGUGUGAUCAUGCGUCUCUAUGGCUGGCCAUGGUGUUUAUUCGAUGGCAGGUAUUACCAGGAUGGAGCGAGUCCCAGUAGGAAGGGCCUUUAGGAUGUCAUCUGGUUCCACCCAACAGGGAUGGGAACUGUAAUUCCCCACUCUCCCUGUGGAGAAUCAGGGCGGGCUCCGGAUGGAUGGCCAAAGGCUGCACAGAGGUGAGCCUCCAGGGUUGGGUUCUAAGCGCUGUUCACACUCCUGUCCCAGUGGUGUUUGGUCUGGGGCACAUUGUGAUAUGUGUUUCCCUCCUUUCUUAAAAUUAGCUCUUGGCUUCAGGGCCUUGUAGUGGACUGAUGUCCCUCCUUAACUGAACAGUCAGUCUGCUUAUUUUUUUGGGGUGGUUUAGGGGUAAAAAUAAGUAGAUAACUGAACAAAGCUGGCUGGCAGGAACCUUCGGCUGACCGCAGGGCUUUGGUGGUGGUCAAGACCUGGAAUUGGAUUUGAGGCCUGGCCAGCGUGAAGGAUAUGCCAUAGGAGCCCAGGAGGAUGACUCUGCCAGGCCUGCUUUUGACAUGUCUGUCAUGCUUCAUGCUUUAUGCUGCUCUGGGCCAUUAAGCAAGAACUAAAUCUGAUGCCCAAUCAAGGCUGAGCUCUUUUUUUUUUUGAGACACUGUCUCACUCUCUUGCCCAGGCUGUAGUGCAGUAGUGUGAUCAUGGCUCACUGCAGCCUCAGUCUCCUGGACUCAAGUGAUCCUCCCACCUCAGCCUUCUGAGUAGCUGGGAGUACAGGUGAGUCAGCCACAGGUUGAAGAUGACAGUAGAUCCUAAGGAACCUCAGUUCUAUCCCGAAAUGCGAAGGCCUUUUUACUCAACCACAAAGAAGUGGUCAGCAGAAAACUGGUCAUCCCGGCCUCUGGGGCCAUGCACAGCACUCAGGAGGAGCUACUAUUUUCCCUGCCUGUUUACAUGCGGCCUGGGGCCUUGUGGGCUAUUUGAAAAUUAGGACACGAGAAGUCCAAGCAGCACCUGGUAAUUAAACUGAGUCCUCUAUCAGAGAGAGGCGUGACCUUGAAGGGCAUCCAUACAGGAGCCAGGGGCAAAGCAGAAGGUGGGAGGGAUUCUCCAGGCUUGACCCUCUCAGCACAUCUCAGUCAGGGGUGCCUGGCAGCCUAGAUUCCAGCCCUGCCCAGUGCCACCCAGAGACCUGAGGGAGGUGGACAGCUGCUCAGCUGGGUGAUGGGAGCCUCUAGAAAUAGUUGUCAACCUCAUCAAACCAGAGAUGAGCCCUUAGGACAGCCAGGGUGUUGAUUUCCAGCCAGGCAGGGCAUUGGUUCUCCAGUGGGAUGUGGACAAGGUUCACUGCAGCCUCUCAGCAGAUGAACUAGGGGAGAGACACUACCCCAACCAUGCUCCCCCGACCCUUCGGUGUUAAGUGAAAGUAUCUUCCUUUUUUCUCUCUGCUCUCUCCGCUUUACAACAAAAUAUUAUCUUUAGUCUGCAAAACCAGGGCCAGGAAGAAUCUUCACAGCUAGACAGGGCCAUGGAAAGAUGAUGAGGCAUAUCAGGAACUAUGUAAUCUUGUAAUACUUCUGCUGCAAAACCUCCUGACGUUCUGAAUGAACAGUCACAUGCAGCCUCUUCAGUGCAAAACUGAGCUCAUAAGAAAGUAAAGCAAAUCUGUAGGGGCC
rnacentral:lncRNA from 10 species